GUGAAUCAUCGAAUUUUUGAACGCAAAUUGCAAUCUCUUGGGAGAGUAUGCCUGUUUGAGGGUCAGCUUAAAAAAAAUCGACUUAGUGGCUGUUUUCGGGUGACUUUCGUGGGAAAUUGGGUCUGUUAAAACCUUUGGGUUUUAAGGGGCUGAAAAUUUGCUUUAGAAUCUUACGAAGUUUUUUAAGAUUU
rnacentral:misc_RNA from 1 species